UGGGGAAUAUUGCACAAUGGGCGCAAGCCUGAUGCAGCCAUGCCGCGUGUGUGAAGAAGGCCUUCGGGUUGUAAAGCACUUUCAGCGAGGAGGAAGGGUAGUGUGUUAAUAGCACAUUGCAUUGACGUUACUCGCAGAAGAAGCACCGGCUAACUCCGUGCCAGCAGCCGCGGUAAUACGGAGGGUGCAAGCGUUAAUCGGAAUUACUGGGCGUAAAGCGCACGCAGGCGGUGUGUUAAGUCAGAUGUGAAAUCCCCGCGCUUAACGUGGGAACUGCAUUUGAAACUGGCAGGCUAGAGUCUUGUAGAGGGGGGUAGAAUUCCAGGUGUAGCGGUGAAAUGCGUAGAGAUCUGGAGGAAUACCGGUGGCGAAGGCGGCCCCCUGGACAAAGACUGACGCUCAGGUGCGAAAGCGUGGGGAGCAAACA
rnacentral:rRNA from 1 species